rnacentral:rRNA from 1 species
UACGUAGGGUGCGAGCGUUGUCCGGAAUUAUUGGGCGUAAAGGGCUCGUAGGCGGUCUGUUGCGUCGGGAGUGAAAACUCAGGGCUUAACCCUGAGCCUGCUUCCGAUACGGGCAGACUAGAGGUAUGCAGGGGAGAACGGAAUUCCUGGUGUAGCGGUGAAAUGCGCAGAUGUCAGGAGGAACACCGGUGGCGAAGGCGGUUCUCUGGGCAUUACCUGACGCUGAGGAGCGAAAGUGUGGGGAGCGAACAGG